ensembl:lncRNA
CUGCUCCUCCAGGUGCCCCAUGCCUCCAUGCCAUGAGGAGUGAGUACUGAAGGAUGGCAGGGUCACCUUUCUUUGUCACACCUUGCAGCGAGACUCCAUUAACUGGAAAGCAACGAAGGCAAGGGAGCCACUGAUCUGGGCUGUGGUGAAAGAAACACAUACACUCCAAAGACUUUUUUGGGUAUUUUACUCCAAGGGUACAUGCAGGUGGGAUAUGGAGGGAUCAGUCACACCUGGCCUGGGGAAGUCAGCAUCCAGAACAGUCUGCACUUGGCUGAAAAUGAGACAGUUGCCAGAGCCAUGGCUCAGGACAGGCGAGUCUCACAGCAGGACUGACGUGUCCAAAAGGUAAGCACACAGAACUUCCUCCUGACAUCAGAUGAUGAAGAUGGGCACGAAUCCAAAUUGUCUUCUAUGUACCUAAAAUGCAACUUGGGCAAAAUGUAUAUGCAUACAGAAAGUCAUUCAGAAAAUCCUGCCCAUCUUCAUUAGGCACCUCCCAGGCACGUACACUGCUAGAUGAGACUUCCUGAGGUACCCAGUACUGUCCUACUGCAUGAAUACAGCAAGCCCUAUCCAGAGCCUGAUCAAGUGAACAGGAGCGCAGCCUUUCUGUGAGUGCUGAUAUGAUAGUUCCAUUAAGUUCUGCAUGGAGAAGCUAUUGUGUGUAUCUCUGGUACAACCGUUCCACACUCUAUGGAAAAUAGAAAAUAUAUGGAUCCAAAGACAUGCUAAUUUCCAAG